CUCAGAGUUGUCAAAGAAGAAAUAGUGGAUGAUGAAUCACACUUACCGUGUUUUAAUGGCAGAGUUGUAUCUUGGUUGGUCCCCGCAGAGAGUAGUGAUAACCAGUCCCAGUGUACAGAUUCUCAAGCAGGAGAUAUACCCCCCGAACGAUUAGGGGGCAUCGGGGACAGCCGACCACCUUCAUUUCAGAAAAAGUCACUGGAAGGAGGUCAUGAUCUCAGGCAUAAAUGCAGUGCUAACCCUCCACACCAUGGCAGAGAAAAUGAACCAUGCGAUACGUGUACAGAAACAGAAUCCAUUUUAAGUAGUCGAA
rnacentral:lncRNA from 1 species